GUGAGGAAUAUUGGUCAAUGGGCGGGAGCCUGAACCAGCCAAGUCGCGUGAAGGAAGAAGGAUCUAUGGUUCGUAAACUUCUUUUGCAGGGGAAUAAAGUGCAGGACGUGUCCUGUUUUGUAUGUACCCUGAGAAUAAGGAUCGGCUAACUCCGUGCCAGCAGCCGCGGUAAUACGGAGGAUCCGAGCGUUAUCCGGAUUUAUUGGGUUUAAAGGGUGCGUAGGUGGUUUGAUAAGUCAGCGGUGAAAGUUUGCAGCUUAACUGUAAAAAUGCCGUUGAAACUGUCGGACUUGAGUGUAAAUGAGGUAGGCGGAAUGCGUGGUGUAGUGGUGAAAUGCAUAGAUAUCACGCAGAACUCCGAUUGCGAAGGCAGCUUACUAAGCUACAACUGACACUGAAGCACGAAAGCGUGGGGAUCAAACAGGAUUAGAUACCCCAGUAGUCC
rnacentral:rRNA from 1 species